rnacentral:miRNA from 1 species
UGCAGCCCCUGUCUGCCUCAG